rnacentral:lncRNA from 1 species
AUGGCCGCUGCGCUGGCGGCUACAGAACAUGGCUCCUUCCUCCCUUCCCUUCCCUUUGUGUGUGUGAGGGCGCCCGCUACCCUGGCGCACGGGCUCAGCCAUUGCAGCCGGGGGAGGGAAGAGAGAAGGAGGGAGGGAGGGAGGGCGGCUGAGGGGGGAGGUGGGGAGCGGGUGGGCGCCGCGGGGGGAGCAGGGGCCGGGGGAGCAGGGGCCGGCGCGCUUCCAGCGCCGUGCCCGAGCCCCGGCGGAGCGGGCAGAGCCCCCCCGAGCUCCCGGCUCCGCAGACUUUUAAACCUUCCCCCCCCACCCCAUUUUUAUUUUAUUUUUUAUUUUUUUUCCCCCUCACGACCUCCUCUUCCUAGAAGGGAAAAGGAAGGGAAGAAGAGGAGAAGAGAGGAGAAGAAGAAAAAAAAAAAAAAAAAAAAGUUCCCCCGAACUGCGCCCCCGCCCGCCCGAGCUCCUCUCUGCUCAGCCGCCGCUCGCCUUGUUUUCUCGCUGGCGGCUGCCGUCAGCCAUGUUACAGCCAGGCGGCUGCGGGGCCAGCGGCUCCACGGCCCCGGCCGCCGGCUCGGCUCCGCCGCCGCCUCCCUCCCGGCCCCUUCCUCGCCCUCCCGCCCGCCCCGCCGCAGCGCCGGCCCCGCCGCGGCUCGGGGUGCCUCUCCCGAGCAGGGCACGGCGCCUCGCCGCCCCGCCUCGCCCCCACCGCCGCGGCGGCGGCCGGGCACUGCCAGCCCCUCGCCCGCCGCCGGCCUCUCCCCACCGAGAGCCGGGCUGGGAAGCAGCGAGCCAGAGGCUGGAGGCUGGGAGGGGGGGGGGGGGGGCGCAGCCUUUGUGCCCGGGCAGCGGUGUCGGUGUGCCGGUGGCGGCGGCAGGCAGAGCCCGGCCCGCUGCGAGCGCGCCCGGCCGGCCCCGCCGCCCCCCCCCCGGGCUCGUACUCACCCGUGUGGGUGCCCGCACGCAGCCCUCGCUCGGCCCCCGGCCCCAGAGACGCCCGCCCGGCCGCUCGCCCCGGCCCCAGCCCCAGCGCUGCCUGGGUCGCUGCGAAGCCCAAUGCACCGCAAUGGCUGUGGGAGCGGGAUCGAUACGCAGCCUCCUCACACUCUCGGCGCUGGUAACAUUACUCUCAACACAGCCCCGCGCCCAUUGGCUGCCGCCAAGCCAGCCGCCUCGCCCAUUGGCCGCGGCCCUUCCAUUGUCCUGACCAGAGGGCCGAGCCGAUUGGGCGCGGCGCGGGACACGUCACCCGGGAGCGAAAGGGCGCGCAAAUAUAAAAGUCAGCGGAGGGAGCCGGCCGCCGGCGGGGCGCGGGAGCCUGGCGGGCGCUGA